AGAGUUUGAUCCUGGCUCAGAAUCAACGCUGGCGGCGCGCCUAACACAUGCAAGUCGAGCGAGAAAGGGAGCAAUCCUGAGUAAAGCGGCGCACGGGUGAGUAACACGUGGAUGAUCUACCCUAUGGUGGGGAAUAACCUUGGGAAACCGAGGCUAAUACCGCAUAAGUUCGAGAGAAGAAAGCCGAAAGGCGCCAUUGGAGGAGUCCGCGGCCGAUUAGCUAGUUGGUGGGGUAAGAGCUCACCAGGGCGACGAUCGGUAGCCGGCCUGAGAGGGCACACGGCCACACUGGCACUGAAACACGGGCCAGACUCCUACGGGAGGCAGCAGUGGGGAAUCUUGCACAAUGGGGGAAACCCUGAUGCAGCGACGCCGCGUGAGUGAUGAAGCCCUUCGGGGUGUAAAGCUCUUUCGGCAGGGACGAUAAUGACGGUACCUGCAGAAGAAGCUGCGGCUAACUACGUGCCAGCAGCCGCGGUAAUACGUAGGCAGCAAGCGUUGUUCGGAAUUACUGGGCGUAAAGAGUGCGUAGGCGGUUUGGCAAGUUUGGUGUGAAAUCUCCCGGCUUAACUGGGAGGGUGCGCCGAAAACUGCCAGGCUAGAGUGUGGGAGAGGAAAGUGGAAUUCCUGGUGUAGCGGUGAAAUGCGUAGAUAUCAGGAGGAACACCUGCGGCGUAGACGGCUUUCUGGACCACUACUGACGCUGAGGCACGAAAGCGUGGGGAGCAAACAGGAUUAGAUACCCUGGUAGUCCACG
rnacentral:rRNA from 1 species